UAGGGAAUUUUCGGCAAUGGGCGAAAGCCUGACCGAGCAACGCCGCGUGAGUGAUUAAGGCCUUCGGGUUGUAAAGCUCUGUUGUAAGGGAAGAACGAUCAGUAUAGGAAAUGAUACUGAAGUGACGGUACCUUACCAGAAAGCCACGGCUAACUACGUGCCAGCAGCCGCGGUAAUACGUAGGUGGCAAGCGUUAUCCGGAAUUAUUGGGCGUAAAGGGUGCGUAGGCGGUUUAGCAAGUCUAAGGUGAAAGUUCGGGGCUUAACUCCGGAUUGCCUUAGAAACUAUUAGACUAGAGUACAGGAGGGGGCAAUGGAAUUCCAUGUGUAGCGGUAAAAUGCGUAGAUAUAUGGAGGAACACCAGUGGCGAAGGCGGUUGCCUGGCCUGUUACUGACGCUG
rnacentral:rRNA from 1 species